UACAGAGGUCUCAAGCGUUGUUCGGAUUCAUUGGGCGUAAAGGGUGCGUAGGCGGCGCGGUAAGUCGGAUGUGAAAUCUCGGAGCUUAACUCCGAAACUGCAUUCGAUACUGCCGUGCUUGAGGACUGGAGAGGAGACUGGAAUUUACGGUGUAGCGGUGAAAUGCGUAGAGAUCAUGAGGAAGACCAGUGGCGAAGGCGGGUCUCUGGACAGUUCCUGACGCUGAGGCACGAAGGCCAGGGGAGCAAACGGG
rnacentral:rRNA from 1 species